rnacentral:rRNA from 1 species
AGUUCGGAUUGUAGGCUGCAACUCGCCUACAUGAAGUCGGAAUUGCUAGUAAUCGCGGAUCAGCAUGCCGCGGUGAAUACGUUCCCGGGCCUUGUACACACCGCCCGUCACACCAUGGGAGUCGGUAACACCCGAAGCCUGUAGUCUAACCGCAAGGGGGGCGCAGUCGAAGGUGGGAUUGAUGACUGGGGUGAAGUCGUAACAAGGUAUC